CUUAAAUUGAAGAGUUUGAUCAUGGCUCAGAUUGAACGCUGGCGGCAGGCCUAACACAUGCAAGUCGAGCGGUAGCACAGAAGAGCUUGCUCUUUGGGUGACGAGCGGCGGACGGGUGAGUAAUGUCUGGGAAACUGCCUGAUGGAGGGGGAUAACUACUGGAAACGGUAGCUAAUACCGCAUAACCUCGCAAGAGCAAAGAGGGGGACCUUAGGGCCUCUCGCCAUCAGAUGUGCCCAGAUGGGAUUAGCUAGUAGGUGAGGUAAUGGCUCACCUAGGCGACGAUCCCUAGCUGGUCUGAGAGGAUGACCAGCCACACUGGAACUGAGACACGGUCCAGACUCCUACGGGAGGCAGCAGUGGGGAAUAUUGCACAAUGGGCGCAAGCCUGAUGCAGCCAUGCCGCGUGUGUGAAGAAGGCCUUCGGGUUGUAAAGCACUUUCAGCGAGGAGGAAGGCGGUAAGGUUAAUAACCUUAUCGAUUGACGUUACUCGCAGAAGAAGCACCGGCUAACUCCGUGCCAGCAGCCGCGGUAAUACGGAGGGUGCAAGCGUUAAUCGGAAUGACUGGGCGUAAAGCGCACGCAGGCGGUCUGUUAAGUUGGAUGUGAAAUCCCCGGGCUUAACCUGGGAACUGCAUUCAAAACUGACAGGCUAGAGUCUUGUAGAGGGGGGUAGAAUUCCAGGUGUAGCGGUGAAAUGCGUAGAGAUCUGGAGGAAUACCGGUGGCGAAGGCGGCCCCCUGGACAAAGACUGACGCUCAGGUGCGAAAGCGUGGGGAGCAAACAGGAUUAGAUACCCUGGUAGUCCACGCUGUAAACGAUGUCGAUUUGGAGGUUGUGCCCUUGAGGCGUGGCUUCCGGAGCUAACGCGUUAAAUCGACCGCCUGGGGAGUACGGCCGCAAGGUUAAAACUCAAAUGAAUUGACGGGGGCCCGCACAAGCGGUGGAGCAUGUGGUUUAAUUCGAUGCAACGCGAAGAACCUUACCUACUCUUGACAUCCAGAGAAUUCGCUAGAGAUAGCUUAGUGCCUUCGGGAACUCUGAGACAGGUGCUGCAUGGCUGUCGUCAGCUCGUGUUGUGAAAUGUUGGGUUAAGUCCCGCAACGAGCGCAACCCUUAUCCUUUGUUGCCAGCGAUUCGGUCGGGAACUCAAAGGAGACUGCCGGUGAUAAACCGGAGGAAGGUGGGGAUGACGUCAAGUCAUCAUGGCCCUUACGAGUAGGGCUACACACGUGCUACAAUGGCGUAUACAAAGAGAAGCGACCUCGCGAGAGCAAGCGGACCUCAUAAAGUACGUCGUAGUCCGGAUUGGAGUCUGCAACUCGACUCCAUGAAGUCGGAAUCGCUAGUAAUCGUAGAUCAGAAUGCUACGGUGAAUACGUUCCCGGGCCUUGUACACACCGCCCGUCACACCAUGGGAGUGGGUUGCAAAAGAAGUAGGUAGCUUAACCUUCGGGAGGGCGCUUACCACUUUGUGAUUCAUGACUGGGGUGAAGUCGUAACAAGGUAACCGUAGGGGAACCUGCGGUUGGAUCACCUCCUUACCAAGAAG
rnacentral:rRNA from 1 species